rnacentral:lncRNA from 1 species
CUCUCUUCAAAAGUAUACCCCUGACCUGCAUUUCCAGUACCAAAUCUUGAACGCCCUAGAGACUGUUCUUCACCUCCUCUUCACCAUCCUUAGUUUCAAAAAAUGACUCCAAAAAAGAAAGGCUUGUCUUAUUGAAUCACAAAGUUGAAAUGGAUGUCAACUGCAUCAUUGUCUAUUUUAUUUUUAGCUUAAUUUUGAAAAUUUUAUUAUUGAAAAAAUUCUGAUAGUAUGUUAAUUAUCAUUAUACAAUCAAUUAGUAAUGCUAACAACCCUUUCAUUUUAACACUUUCUUUAUCAUUAAUUUUUUUAUCAAUAAAAACACAAAUAAGUUCUAUCAUUUUAUGUGAAAUCUAUUUUCAAAGGAAAAGACCUAUAUAUGUUUCACUCAAUAAAAGAGUGGGUGUUUGAGAGGGAAACAAAUUCCCUCCAACAUUUUUGGUUCUGUCACCUGUCCUAUACAAUAUUGACAGUUGGAUUUAAUUUUAAUUAUUUAAUUAUUUUUCACUCUUUCUUUCUUCCAUGCUAUUAAAUUAAGUUAAUAGACCGGAUGGAAACAGAAUCGAAAGCACCGAACAUUCCACUGGAGAUGAUCCGGAUUCGUUUGAGAGAGUGUUAAGAAAAAAGAGCGAUAAAGAGUAUUCUAGCACUUAGUAUCAGCAUGAAAUAGACUUUGUGCCCACUCUUUUAAUCUGUUUGUUUACAUAAUUAUAGAAAAGAUAGAAUUGAUUCAUACAUAGGAAUGAGCUAGUACGUGAAGCUUAGUGCUUACUGUAAUAUUUGCN